GGUGGACCCCGCCUCUCGCCCGAAGACAGCUGGGAUAGGCUCCAGCACCCCCUUAACCCUUGUGAGGUACCGCAGGCUGGGACGCAGUAGUGGAUAUACUAUAUCGUCUUUGGAGGACACGCUGACUAAUAAAAGUUUCCUCUUCCUCGUCAGAGCGUCUCGCCCUCAGGACAGAGUGCACCUUCGCCACAUGCCUGGGGGAUGAAGGCGGACCUUGAUGGAGAGAUGUGGCACUAGCCUGGGGGCUCGCUCCACUCUGAGGCUAGUUAGCUGCCAUCAUUAGGGAGGAGGCCGCUCAUGGCAGGAAGAAAACCUGAUGCGGCCCAGCCUCACCCAGACCCUAGCUCCAGUGGCCCCCAGAAAACCUGAUGCGGCCCAGUCUCACCCAGACCCUAGCUCCAGUGGCCCCCAAGUAAAUUGAGUUUGAGACCCCUUGGUAUAAGCACCCAGGGCUCAACUCACCUUGACAUGGAUGCGUUGACAGUGAGCGCAGUUGGGUACGGGUGUCUAAAACCCCCUGUUGUGAUUGGAUAAACAGGUUGACCUUGCCUGGGAAGAAGAAGAAGAAAGGUAAGGAAACAAGGUUGA